GCAUUAUUGACAAGGAUCCUUCCGGCAAAGACCUUAUCCACCUGGUCGCCCGAUCGAUGUUGCUCAGGCCAUUGGGUAUAAGCGCCUCGAAAAGCGGUACUAUGACUUUAUAAUGAGGAGUGGAGGUUGGUACUAUAAGGAUCGGUUGGGUCGUACUCGUGGACCAUUGGAACUAAUUACUCUGAAAACAGCCUGGGGAGGUGGCAUUAUUGACAAG
rnacentral:misc_RNA from 1 species